CCUACGGGUGGCAGCAGUAGGGAAUAUUGCUCAAUGGGGGAAACCCUGAUGCAGCAACGCCGCGUGGAGGAUGAAGGUUUUCGGAUUGUAAACUCCUUUUGUUAGAGAAGAUAAUGACGGUAUUUAACCAAUAACCCCCGGCUAACUCCGUCCCAGCAGCCGCGGUAAUACGGCGGGUGCAAGCGUUACUCGGAAUCACUGGGCGUAACGAGCGCGUAGGCGGGUUAGCAAGUCAGAUGUGAAAUCCUAUGGCUUAACCAUAGAACUGCAUUUGAAACUGGUAUUCUAGAGUAUGGGAGAGGUAGGUGGAAUUCUUGGUGUAGGGGUAAAAUCCGUAGAGAUCAAGAGGAAUACCCAUUGCGAAGGCGACCUGCUAGAACAUAACUGACGCUGAUGCGCGAAAGCGUGGGGAGCAAACAGGAUUAGAUACCCGGGUAGUC
rnacentral:rRNA from 1 species